GGGGAUGAAGCUCAUAUGGUAGAGCGCUUGCUUUGCAUGCAAAAGGUACGGGGAUCGAUACCCUGCAUCUCCA
rfam:Ipomoea nil DNA, scaffold: scaffold1317, cultivar: Tokyo-kokei standard.